rnacentral:rRNA from 1 species
CAGGUAGGAAUACCCGCUGAACUUAAGCAUAUCAAUAAAACGG